GACGUAGGGCGCGAGCGUUGUCCGGAUUUAUUGGGCGUAAAGAGCUCGUAGGCGGCUUGUCGCGUCGACCGUGAAAACUCGCAGCUCAACUGCGAGCCUGCGGUCGAUACGGGCAGGCUAGAGUUCGGUAGGGGAGACUGGAAUUCCUGGUGUAGCGGUGAAAUGCGCAGAUAUCAGGAGGAACACCGGUGGCGAAGGCGGCCUGCUGGGCAGUUGCUGACACUGAGGCGCGACAGCGUGGGGAGCAAACAGG
rnacentral:rRNA from 1 species